AAAGAAGCACCUUCUAGAGUUGAUGUUUGGACUAAGGCACAUAAGAAGAAAAAUGGUCAACCUGUAAAUUUAGAAGUGGCUGAAGCUUUUGAUUUAGUGGAAGAAUAUAAAAAAGAUCUAACUAUUUCUUCAACUACAAGUGUUAAUGAUGACAUUCUAACAAAGGUCCUUGGCCCUGAAAAGAAUACAUAUUUGAGGGCUUUUGGAAGAGGAGUUACUCGGUCAAAGUUGGAAAUUUUUUCUGAACGAGAUGAUCACAUGAUUCAAAUAAAAGAUCAAUGUAAUGACUUGAAGGAUAGAAUGUCACACAUGGAGCAACUAAUUCAAUCUUUACUAAAAAAUCAGAAUGAACCUGUUCAAAGUGGGGAGUAAUCAAAUGCCCAUGUUCCAUCAUCUCCUGUGAGUGUAAGGGAUAACAUUUAUGGCAAAAAAUGCAAAAUAUUGGAUUGGACUGGAUCUGGAGAUAUUAUUGCAGAUGGACACUUCAUUUCAAGUGACCCAAAAGAUGAGGUCCAUCAUGUUCCUCUUGGUCCAAAUGCCAUGAAAGUGGGAAUAGAUUUUGCAAGGAAACCCAAUGCAUUUCUUUGGAGGCCUACAUCUAACAUUUUCCAUAUGGAAGAUGCUAUUGGUAGUAUAAUUUCUUGGCGAACUGAAAAAGUGAGAAUGAACUGACCAAUUGGUUGUGAUGCCAUACUUCAUAUAGUUAGGCUCUUGAGGACACAGAUAGAUGGAAACAAAUGGAAGGUCAUGGCACACUUUUUGAGCUCGGAAAUAGGCUUUCAAAUCUAGUGCAAAUAACAAAGCAUCAAAAUAUCUUUGGAUUUCGUUGUUCACUUUUAAAGUGAAACAUGAAAGUUUUUUCAAAUUUUAGCUAGAAGUUUAUUAUGAUGACUUUGAUUCUCUAAACUUUACUUUUUGAAAGAUGGUUCACUUAAGUGAAAUAUGUAUUUGGACCAAGUUACCUAAUAUGAUGAUAUUGACAUUUUUUA